UGGGGAAUAUUGGACAAUGGGCGAAAGCCUGAUCCAGCAAUGCCGCGUGAGUGAUGAAGGCCUUAGGGUUGUAAAGCUCUUUUACCCGGGAUGAUAAUGACAGUACCGGGAGAAUAAGCUCCGGCUAACUCCGUGCCAGCAGCCGCGGUAAUACGGAGGGAGCUAGCGUUGUUCGGAAUUACUGGGCGUAAAGCGCGCGUAGGCGGUCUAUCAAGUCGGAGGUGAAAUCCCGGGGCUCAACCCCGGAACUGCCUUUGAAACUAAUGGACUAGAAUCUUGGAGAGGCGAGUGGAAUUCCGAGUGUAGAGGUGAAAUUCGUAGAUAUUCGGAAGAACACCAGUGGCGAAGGCGACUCGCUGGACAAGUAUUGACGCUGAGGUGCGAAAGCGUGGGGAGCAAACAGG
rnacentral:rRNA from 1 species